rnacentral:rRNA from 1 species
UACGUAGGGUGCGAGCGUUAAUCGGAAUUACUGGGCGUAAAGCGUGCGCAGGCGGCUUUGCAAGACAGAUGUGAAAUCCCCGGGCUCAACCUGGGAACUGCAUUUGUGACUGCAAGGCUAGAGUACGGCAGAGGGGGAUGGAAUUCCGCGUGUAGCAGUGAAAUGCGUAGAUAUGCGGAGGAACACCAAUGGCGAAGGCAAUCCCCUGGGCCUGUACUGACGUUCAUGCACGAAAGCGUGGGGAGCAAACAGG